rnacentral:lncRNA from 1 species
GUAUGAAAACAAAAAAGAACUAAAAGAUUAGUCUUACGGAUUGAAAUGGUUGGAUGAUGACACAUCAAUCUGACCCACAAUAAGCACAUUUCCACUUUGUUCACUCCAUUGGUUCAUCAUUCCUCUUGGAGAAAUCAAAUAUGUUCUUUUUAUUAUCUUGGGGAUAAAAAAUUCUAAUAUAAAAAAUAUGUCCGGUAAGAGUAUCCAUGAUGGCCCUCUCAAGAGACCUGGAGAACCAAAGAAACAUUGUGGAGUAAGGCUACUAGCACAGCCGGUUUAACAGAUAGAUAUAACACAGAGAAUAAGAUAUGUUUUUAUUUGCUUUGUGGAUUGAUACACAUAAUGCAAUCAUAUAAAGAGUAUUUCGAACUUGCAACAGUAUGUACAAAACCCUCUUACCUCAAAUAUCAUGCUUUCUAAUUCAAUGGGUUAAAGCCAUUCUACCAACAAAGACUCAUUAAAUAGCACUUACCAAAGAAACAACACAAGUUUUGCAAUAAGAGGAUAAAUUAUAUCCUCAAACACAAUGUGACAUGCUACUCACUUUUCAAAUACUGGUUGGAUCAAUAUGCACCAACCAGUAGUUACCAGAGCAGUGCUAGAUCACAGAACUAGUACCGAUCAGUAUUCAUUAUCUUAGUAUGUUUCUUUCGGUGAUACCGGCCGUACAGAUCAGUAUAGCGCCGAGUACCAUACCAGUCUGGUAGGGGUGAAAAUUGAUACUGAAACAGUAUCUAUAAUCUUGGAUUCUAUGUUACUAAAGAUCUGUGACUUAACCUCCAACGCUCAUACUCAAAAUGCAAAAGAACACUCAAUAAGAGAUACUUAAAUUCAUUAUCGUCUUUAAUAAGCUUACUGAGGGCUACCAGCAUAGCACUUCCAGAACAAUUUUGGUUCACUAUACAAGACUAUAAUGAAUUUAUCUUGAGGCUAUCUAGUCCCCGAAUAAUAUAUGCAUAUUUGUAUAUAUGAGACUAAUUACAUAUUACUUAUAUAAUUAGUUACAUUUAGUAUCUUAAUUCUUAUAUUUUCAAAAGUUACGUUAAGAUCUUUAUACUUACGAAGGUAAAAUAUUUAAAAUUUUUUUUAUAUUUUUAAUCUUAUGAAAUUACUUUUUUAACAGGGAUCUCAAUAACUAAUUACAUGAGAUAAUCUAUAAAUAGCCCAUAUAUAUAUAUAUAUAUAUAUAUAUAUGUAUGUAUGUAUGUGUGUGUGUGUGAUCAAUAAGAUGCAUUCUGAGUUCCCUCAUUUUAAUAUUACUUUCACUCGGACAUUUUCAUUCCAUAUUCUAGAGUGAUCCAAGCUCCAGAUAGCAUAGCUACAAGCAAUCCAACCAUUUAAAUUGACUCCAUCAAUAAUGUUUAUUACUCCAUGAAUGCACCAGACUUUUGCACUUUUUGGACAGCCAAAUUGUUUCUUCUAAUGUCCAUCAAAUUAUCAUUAUGACCCCAUUUUAUAAAAACGAUUACACAGCUCUUUAGAAGGAUGUUCACUUGCUCUUACCCGACCCUACUUCUUAGUGUGCUUUCAAAACUUGCUCUUGAAGCACACGAUAGAAAAGCAUUCUCAUUUUGAAUACCGAAGACUUACUACACAAGUAUAAUCAACCAAAAUUGAACUUGCAUAAUUUGACCACAAAAAAUGCAUGACAACAUAGUUUUCACAAGCAUGAGAACUCAUUAUCUUGUUAAGCAUGACAAAAUUACCAAUGAGGCAAUCACUAUACUAAAGAAUUGUCUGUAUGAGUUAAUGAUUAUGUCUUUAAUCCCUCAAACAACUAGUUCUAAAUGAUGAAAAUGAGAAUUGAAUGCUUGAGAUAGAUACCAAAAAAAAAAACUUACUACAGAUCUAGAACAGAUGUUUUCAGUAGCAAACAAUUAUUUCUGAAAUACCCUGGCCUUUUGAAUUUCUCAAGGUUGAAUGUACAGGAUUAAAAUUGCCACUGUAGCAAGUUACACACUAGAACGAAGUUCUUCUUGCAGGGAUUCACUAACCAUACCGAGAUGAGGCAAUGCCUAUAACUUCAUUUUUGUCCGAAGUUAAGUUCCUAUUCCUCCCUUGUAUAUUGAUAGAUUAUAUACUAAUCGACACAUCGUCAAGCGACGAUCGCUUGGUUUAUACAAUGAUCACUCGAUCCCAUCAUCACGUUAUCAACUAUAACCAUGGUUCAUAAGAUCACACAACAACGAUCAUGUUUAGCAAACACCCAGCAGCCAAUCUCAAUAGCAUGUUUAGUUCAGCCAGGUCCAAUGAUGAGAUAAGCACCUUCAAGGGUAUAAACCAGACAUGGUCGUCACUUAAUCGAGUUAAAUCAAAUUUCAACUGGGUUCCAGCCAAUGGCCAAUUCCUGCUACCUUUUGGUUGCUUCGAUCACAUUCUAUACAUAUUCUAGAUAAUUCAGAAGGUUUAGCAUGCCACAUCUGAGUGACACCCUGUUGAUUUCGGUUGAUCCCAAUCGGUCCUCAUCAAAUCCAACAAAAUUUUGAUUAAUCCUGCGAACUUAACUAUCAACUUGGUCUCCGAGUCGCAUUACAGAAGCCCUAAACAAGUCAUUUGUAUUCAUUUAAUUCAUUUAGACGCAUUUCCUAAACAACAUUUCCAACAUCCAAAGCUACAAGAAACCAUACUCCCUAAUCUAUUUAACGUAAUGCAAAUCAACAAUAUAAAUUGCAUAAAAGAGCCACAAACUUACCAUAAAGUUCGUCAGGCAAAUCUUGCCAGCAUCGGCUACCGACCGCUGAUCCUCCUCCUUGACCACGAUGUCCUCUUCCUCGUCCUCAUCAGAAGAGCCCUGGCGAGCCUGGUCUCCCUCUCCUCGUACUCUUCAUGUCCUCCACCACCUCCGGCUUGCUCCGGCUCCGAGCGCCUGCCUUCCCGAAAAGAACCUCGUCCCAGAUCGACCUCUUGGGGUCGAUCGGAGCCUGCGUGGAAGGGAGAAGGCGGAUCUGUUGAAGUCGGCGAAGGAUUGAGAGAGGCAGGAGUGGUAUAGACCAGAGGCAAGGAUCUUAGAAGUUGAGAGAGAGAGAGAGAGAGAGAGAGAGAGAGAGAGAGAGAGAGAUGGCUCUUAUCGUCUCAGACCACGGUUUUAAAACGGCCUUCACUUUCCCUCCUCUUCUUAGGAUGUGUUUCCGUUUCAGACCACGGUUUUAAAACGGCCUUCACUUUCCCGCCUCUUCUUCCUCCCGUUGAACCGGUUCGAUCAAACAACAAUGAUCGAGCUAUUUAUCGGUUCGAACUGAUUUAAAUUAAUAUUAUAAUAUUAAUUAAAUCAAAUAAUAUUUAAAUCAAUAUAUUAUUAUUAUUAUUAUUAUUAUUAUUAUUAUGAAAUGUAUCGAUGAAAUUAAAGUAUCAUGACGAGGAUGUAGUUCUUCCUUAAAUUGACUAUAUCAAGAUAAUAUAAUAAUAAUAAUAAUAAGAUUAUGAAAUUGAUUAAUAAUAUUUGUUAAUAAUUAUCUAAAUUUUUAAUAUAUAAAGAAAUAAACUUUAAGUGAAGCAAAAUACUGGUUACGAUAAGCUACAUGAUUAAAACCCAUAGUUAUUAUUGUUGAAAAGAAUAGAAGAUAAAAAGAAUUAUUGAAGAAGUUUUAUCGAAGAAACUUGAAUGCAUUAACAUGUCCUCUCCUAUUUAUAUAGAUUAGGAGGAAAGAUUUACCUCAAUAGAAUAGAGAUAUUUUUUCAUAUAAUUAGAGAAAUUUUAUAUGUUAUUAAUUAUUAAUCAAAAUCGAUGGAAAGGUGGUGAUGUAUCAAAUGAAUUUAUCAAUAAUAUCAAAUGAUCCCAAACUCUAUUGAGCAAAUUUUACACUCGUAAUAUCAAUUUGACUGUGGUAUAUCAAAUUCAUUUUCUAAGUGUCUAGUGAUAAUGUAUCAAAUAUGCUCCUCAAUAAUGGAAGGUUUGGAAGUUUACACUUAAAGUACUCAUUAGUACUUACGUACGAGACUAAAUGUUGAAUGUUCAAAAUAAUUCAUCAUGUGACGACAUGACUUGUAUUUUGUCAACAGAAACUCAACAUGUCAAAUUCAGUCGAAAUGUUGUAUAAAAUCCCGACGUGAUCUCUUGUGAUUAGCUACGAUAAAUUAUGAAAUAGUGAAAAUCACAUAGAAUGAUAUAAAUUAAUAAUAGGAAAUAGAGAGAUAUAAGAAGUUUUUACUACAAACUUUAAAUAUAUUUUUUAGAAAAUAUUAACUAUAAAUAUUGCAUACCCAAUAACAAAAAUAAUUAUGUAGCUGCUCGCUGGAUGCCGUGCAGGAGAUCGGACAAACGGGUGUGUGCUGUCCACUGCCCUGCACGAACUUUUCACCACUUCAAAAGAUGACACGCCCACUGAUUGCAAGGAGAGAGAAGGUCAGAUGGGACCAAUUACUUCCCACUCUGGUAGACCCCAUCGCAUCAUGCGGUCUUUCAAUUCGGUAGGUAAGUGUCCACUGCUUUUCCUUGCUUCCUCCUCCAGGAAUCAAUCAUUCCCCUCACCUCAAGCACAACACACAUCUUCUAAUGGCGAAGAGAUUCUAAUUCUAAGUUCGACACACUCCUGCUACUUCCACAAGGAUAGAGCAAAUCUUCUAAAGCUAGAUUAUGUCUCGCCAAUGAUCCGCUAACGAGUCAACCGAGCAGAGCAGAGCAGAGCAGAGCAGCGGAGAGGAGAUGAUGAUGAUGAUUACUGCUGGGAACAGCAGUGGACAAAGGAAGGAAGAAAAGAAGGCACCAUCGUGACCCACCUACUCGUUUUAACUUUUGCCCACAGUUUGGGGGGUCUAAUAAUUAAAGGAAUCUUAGUACCUCUGCUUCCUCCUUAACGGAGACAAUGCAUGUAGUGCCGCUGCGCGAUCCAAAGCAGAGGAGGGCACGUAGAUCCAGCUUGUGACUCGGGACCCCUCUCGCCUCCGCCGCUCACGCUAGUUACAGUCGUGAGACCGAUCCCGUGUGUUGGCGAAGCAGGUCGAGAUCGACGGGAGCAGUGAGUGGAUCGAGAAGGUGCAGACAACGCACCUUUUACCCGCUCUAGCAUUUUCCAGAACAGGUGGACGGCAUUCGGUAGCCCCACUGACCCACACCAAUCCUUUCUGCUGCUCCUCCAAAAAUGAUUGCUCUCGUCGUCUCCGCAUCCGUAAAACAUCGACAGCUAAUGACUCGGAUGCCAUGUACUGAUGGAAAUGUAUCGUUUGCUUCCCCUGAUGAUGAUGAUGAUGAUGAGCCAGCAAACCUUCCUGCACAACUCUCCCGGUGCUAAUCACUGGGAUGAAACUACUAUUAAGCCUUUCGGAAGCUUUUCUUCGGAAAUGGAGGCUUCCGAUCACAAGUGCUGUGCAUGAAACAUCGUUUGCGAGCAAAUCCUGUUGCCCUGUGCGCUCAGCAGUCCGCAGCUUGUUGUUGUUGGUGUGCUGCCACACCUCUUUUGCCUUGGCUGCGAGGUGGUGGCCACUGAGUUCCGUUUCGUAUCGCAGAAGAUGACCACAUUCCCCAAUCAGAUACUCGGUUGAUGUGUACUCUCACGUCGACUACAAACCACCCGCCCAUGUCCAAGAAUCCAAAAGCUCCCCAUCCCUCUCAUCCUACUCUUCCCCAAUCCCCUUCGUUGCUUCCACUCCACCAACCUGUUCCUGCGGUGCACCACACGCUGCCCUUCCCCUUUAAAGCCCUCGCAGCGCCACCGCCACGCAGGAAAGGAGAGCAUAUCAACGGUAGUAGCGGCAGCGGCGACGACAGUGACAUGGCUGGUCUAAGCGUUCUCUUGGAAACACACAACAGCUUGCCAAAAUACACUCACAUCAUAAGCAAAACCUCCCUCGUUAAGAACUCUUCUCUCUCUUCUCCUCCUUCCUCCUUCGCCACCAGCCCUUUCCUGGAACGCUGCUACCUUUGCCGGAAGAAGCUGCAACAGGGCAAUGAUAUCUACAUGUACAGGUGAGUCACAGAACCUUUGGCUUCCGCUCAUUCUCAUCUCUUCCCGGUUUGCUCGCUCUCCAAGUUUCGGUCGGGUGGGUUUUCGCCCUGCAGGGGGGACCGAGCGUUCUGCAGCGUGGAGUGCCGCUGCCGCCAGAUAUUUAUGGACGAGGAGAGCGGGCGGAGGGACCAAUGCUCCCUCGCCGCCGCGGCUGCCUCGGCGGCUGACGCCGGAGCCCAGUCGGACCGCGGCCGGCCGGGGAGGGCGACCCGAAAAGGGCGGGCCGUGGCCGGUGGUUUCGCCUAGUGUCGUUACUGCUUUGGCCAAGCACCUGGUUUUGGUGUAUUGACCAAAAUACCCUCGCCUUGCUAUUUUCCCCCUCUUCAUUCCAUUCUGAAGGGAAUGGGUUUGCGGGAGCCUCAUGUACUCUGUUCCUUCUCGGAUUACAUUGUUUUGUUCUUACUUCGAUAAAUAAACAUAUUAUAUAUAUAUAUAUAUAUAUAUAUAUGUAUGUAUAUAUAUUAGGCUAUAAAAAAUAUAAAUGCACAUUCACAGACACACUCCAUUAAUGCACUCUUUCUCUGUUUGCAUACUCCAUUUUGUUUUAGUUCGGAACCACUUUUCUGCAACGUUGGAGAAGAACUUUUCUUUCUUUCUUUGGUUUUACCUUUUUCUAAAGAAGAUGCCUCAAGAACAUGUCAAAAGGAAGUCUCAGAAUCGAGUCUCCCCAUACCAAAUCAGAGAAGUGCUGCAGAGAUCAAUGUGUUAGAGAACAGAGUGGUUUCCAGGAACAAAGCAGAAGCUUAACAUUUGUGUUCUCUUCCUCAGUUUAUGAUCGCUGGAUAGAUGUCUGAUGGAGACAUCAUUGGGUCCCGACUUUAUACAAAGCACCAAAAGCUGACUCAGAUGAUCAUGUGAAAACUAUAUGUGUUUGGCACGCAAGUUACUGAUGAUUGAAUGUUUGAUUGUACUGCUCGCUUCGAUGAGACCAUACUAAUCCGAUGGUGGGUGAAGAAGAAGCCCACCACCACCAUAUGCUUGAUUUGAUCUUGCGGCACUCACCAUUACCCACUGCCAAGGAGGUGAUGACGUGUGUAAUAGAAAUAGGUUUUCAAAUAUUUUAUUUUAUUUUAUCGUGAUUUUAAAUCGAAUUUUAUCAAAAAAAUAUAUAUUUUUUAUUUACUUUAAAUUUUUAUUUUUAAUAUUAGUAAAUUAUUUUUUGGUCUCCCUCUUUUAAUUACUAUUCAUUCACACCUUACUAAUUAUCUUAUAUUUUAUGAAAUAUAUCAAUUUAUUCUUUUUUAUAAAAAAAAUAUAUAUUUAAUAGUAAUUUCAUCCAUUCAUUUUAAUAAUAUAAUUUCGAAGAUAAGCCAGAAUUUAAUAUUAUAAUUCACUAUUUACCCUUUACAAAUUAAAAAAAAUAAUGGUGCGAAUAUCCGAUGAUCCAAAAAAUAUUAUUGGCUUAAUAAUUUUUUUAUAUCUCAUAUUUAAAUAAUUUCACUAUUACUAAUUUUCUUAUAUUUCCAAACAUUUUACUUGUUGAAAAAUCCCCACAAAAUUGUUCUGCGAUCAUCACAACCGUCGAUGGGUGCUGAUGGCGGGACCCAGACAUCCGCCAAUAGUUGACGGCCACCUGUACCCGUUACACGAGGAGGACACUCAAGUAGCGGCCGAUUUCUUACCCUUAAAUAAAGCAUGCAUGAAUGGGAGGGAAAGACCGCCCCGCACCCUAAACCCUGCUUUCGCUGGGAGAGGGUUUCGGAGCCGUCACGGCGAAAAGGUUCUACUUCCCUUGCUCGCCGCCGCUCCUUCUUCUGUAAGACUUGCCUCUUCUCGGGGUUCUUGGUGGGGGAAGAAGACUUCUUGGUGGUCGACAGCCAUGGCGAGGCUUCUUCGGUCCGCUUCUUUAAAGCGAGCCUUCUUUAGCUCAGAGGUUCUGUUCUUCACUCAAAAAUCUUCUGUUUCCAUUCUUCUGCAAUGCGUCCACUAAGAUCGAUUUCUUUACACCAAGAAACCCUUGUCGAACGUGAUUUGUGGUAGUCAUUUUCAUUAAUAUACGCAUGAAAGAGGAAGGAGGGAAAAAUGCCCCAAACCCUAAACCCUUCUUUGUCGGAGAGGGUUCUCGAUUCCCUAAUGGCCGCCAUGGCAAGACACGUGUGAGGUUUCCCUUGGUAUCGAAGCCGAAUGAGAGUUCUUGGUGGUCGACGGUCUCGGGUGUGCUUUCUUUAAGUGAGCCGUCUUUGCUUCAGAGGUUCUAUUCUCUACCUAAAUCAUUUGUUUUCAUCGUUAUGCUGUGCUAUCAGGUUACUAAGACCGAUUUCUUUACACCAAGAAAGCCUCUCUUGAACGUAAAAUCGUGUCGUGCACCCCAAAUCCUAAACCCUUUUCUGUAAGAGAAGGUUUUGGAAUCCAUAAUGAUCACCACGGCAACAAACAUGUGACGUUUCCAUACCUUCGUCGCCUAUUCUCCUUUGUCUAAGGCAUCCCCCUUAUCAGUGUCUUCAGCCAUGGCGGCGUUUUUCUAGUGCGCUUCUCUUUGCCUCGUAGGUUGUAUUAUCGACUUAAAUCAUUUGUUUCAAUCGUUCUGUGGUUCCAUCAGGUUACAAAGAUGGAAUUCUUGAAACUAAGAAGCCUUUGUUGGACGAAAAAUCAAGUCCUUCUUAGUGUUUUGUGGUCUAUUUCAAGCACUUAAAUCAUUUUUCUACUGAUGAUCAAAGGUAUAAUACAGUAAAGUUAAUGAUAGUAAGGAAAGGGUUUUCUGGUUUCCAUUUAGCAUUUCUUUCUUCAUGAUUCUGCAACCGUAAUAACCAGGUUUUAGUUUCAAUAUGAUCAAUCAAAAGAAGAUUUCAGUCGUCACAGUUUGGACUAUUUUGUUGCUUGCUGUCACAUUGCUAAUUGUUUUGUUGCAAAUGUUUCCGCUUGCAGAAAUAUGGGCCAGAAAUCAGGGGAGCUAAUAUCCAAUUCUACAACUUUUCUAGUAAAGGUAACAGGAGUACAUGAUUCAUGUAUACAUGGUUAUGGUGUUCUUACACUUCCAGCAUCUUUCUUUUCUUUCUUUUUAUUUCUGUCGAUUCGUUAUAUAGUCAAAUGGAAGACCUGGUAUAUAUGCAGAGAAGCUAACAACACUUCAACUGUAAAGCAAUAUGGAAAAUGUUUAUUAACAGAUUAUGCUAGGUUAUACAGUAACUAUUUCUUGGUCAGUUUAUUUUCUCUGAUCUAUAUUCUGAUAAUCCUGAAAUAAAAGAUGUGUUUAGGUGGAUUAUUAGGUAUAUGUUAUGAUUGACACCUGUUCUAAAUCUCAAAAUUUCCCUAAGUUCUGUUCUUUUUGAUGGUUCGAGUUAUGCACACAUGCUUGGGAUUUUCUUCAGCCAUGUCCAUGUACUAGGCUAUAUUGAUCAGUGCCAUUUUGGUUGAUCUGAACCUGAACUGCAAAGUGUGUUAUUGUAGGAAAAAGUAAAUCGAAGCCAGUUGGAACUGAAACUGGUGAAAAUAACCUGUCGAAGAAAGAUCUGGCUUUACAGCAAGCCUUGGACCAGAUUUUAACUUCGUAUGGAAAAGGCUCGAUCAUGUGGCUUGGCCGUUCUGCUGUUCCUAAAGAAGUUCCUGUUGUGUCUACAGGAUCUUUUACAUUGGAUAUGGCAUUGGGAAUUGGAGGUCUUCCGAAGGUACCCACUUAUAUUUGUCAAGUCUGCUAAAUAUUUGUACCGUUGGAUGAGUUCUUUAACAAAUUGACUAGUUCUUAGACUUCGUUAGUAGUCGCAGUUAAAGUAAUAGUUCUGAAACAUUAUAUUUUAUAUAGUAAUAUAUAUUCUCUUGAUGGUAGUUUUAGUUCUGUGCUUAUUCUUAGAUUAAGUAGCUUAUUAAUUCUCUCACAUUUUUUGUUUUCCUUCAUAUGUAGUUCAAUAUGAGUCUCUGAAUUGAGCUUAAUUUUUCAUAAUUAUUUGGAUGAUGAUAACAUAGAAGAACAUGUUGUCCCAGCUACUGAGGCAUUUGGCUGUUUGUAGAUAUCUUGGACACUCCCACCAUGUAAGUGAGGACAAUUUGUCAAUCCAAAUAGUGAAACAUUAUGCUCAUUUAUAGUCUUGAAUACUUGCAUUAACAGCUUGACAAAUCAUUAGCACAAUCUUAACAAACUCAGAACACCAUGAACCCUGUUAAAAUCACCAGCUAAAUUCUGUUUCAUCUCAACUUCGUCUUGCACAAAUGAGUUAUCCGAACAACAUCUGUGAGAAGCUCACACCUAAGUGAAGGCUUCUACAAGGUUGUUGAAGUGGUUUGAACAGCUUGUUUUCCUUCCAAGUCAUCGAAGCCAGGUGUGGUGUUUAUUAUAUUCUUCCCUCUCAUCUUCAAUGCUGGGGAAUCAAAUGCUUUUGACCCUUGAUGAAGCUUUAUUCUUGGUAUCAUGAUGCUGGAGUUCAUCAGAGUGACAACCACUAUGUGUGAAAUUUAGAACAUGGAGGAUUAGCAAUGAUUUACUUUGAUGUCGCUCCUGGGCAAGUCAAUUCUCUGUUCUCCCAUAGAAUUACUUUGUUUUUACUAUAGUUAUCCCGUCAUGCGUUGGCUGAUUCAUCAUAAUUUAUGGCAUGCAACCUUGUCUAUAUAAUUGCAAUUAUCCUCUAGUGUAACCUUAUCUAAGUAUUCUUCCCUCUCAUCUAUGUAGAGGAAUCAAAUGCUUUUGAUCCUUGAUGGAGCUUGGAGCUCCCAUCAUUUUGAAUCUAUUUUAGGCAGAGAUAUAAAAGGCCCAUGUUGGUUCUUAUAAUUCAAAAAACAAAAUGAUCAAUCUGAUCUCAGGAAUUUGCCAGGCAAUAGAUAUGCACUUUCUUCUUUACUGCCUGAAAUUGGUUUUCCUAUUUAAUGGGAUCUAUACCAUAUGCAAUGUCGAAAAAGCAGACACUUGAUUAUGUGGUUAUGCAGACAUUUUGGAUGAAUGAUAAUAUUUCUGUCGGUUUAUUGAAAUAAGCUUCCAUUAUAUGGUCAAAAGUGACCCCUGAACAUGUGAUGGGGGACGAGUGUUAUUUUUUCAGAGGUAUAAUUCUCAUUGUGCUGUUGACGUGUGCUCAAUUUUGUCACACUUUUCUUUUCUUCAUAAAAAAAACCCAUUAAUUUGCUUUCAUCAAGUGGCCAACAACAUUAGCAACAAUGUCCCACCGGUCACUUAUUGAGUAUUGACUAUAAAAAAAUGUUGGAUAUGUUAAUAACUCUUUUUAUGUAAUUAUCCACUGGGUUCUGAAAUGCUCGCCUUUUGUGUCUGGCAGGGCCGUGUUGUGGAGAUAUAUGGUCCAGAAGCUUCUGGAAAAACUACACUUGCUCUUCAUGUUAUUGCAGAAGCACAGAAGAACGGAGGUAAUGUUGUUUGGACUUCUUGCAAUCUGACAUGCUUCCUUUGAGUAAUGUUCUGCAUAUUUCUGAAACAGUUGGUAGUCUUUAAUAAACAAUUUAGAGAGAAAUAUGCAGUAGUUGGCAUGAUCGUCAAUAAAAAAAGUUAGUGCAUAUUGCUGAAACAGUUGAAUUGUAUGUUGAUAAUCAUGCCUCUGAAAGAAUUAAUUUUAUCACCGCACAACUUAUUGUGGUGCAUGGGGCAGGGGAAUACAUAAAAAGCACUCUCUUAUAAAGAGUAACUUAAACAUCCUUAGGUGAUCGUGGUAUUUCGAAUAUCUCAAACACUUCAUAUUUAAUCUAUCCUGCAUGCACUAACUUUCUAGAUUUGUUUUAUUUUACAGGUUAUUGUGCUUUCAUAGAUGCAGAGCAUUCUCUGGAUCCAGCGUUGGCAAAGGUUAUUGGUGUUAACACUGAUAAUUUUCUUGUUUCACAGCCAGAUUGUGGUGAGCAGGCACUUAGUCUCGUCGAUACUCUAGUUAGGAGUGGCUCAGUUGAUGUUGUGGUUGUAGACAGUGUAAGUCGUAAAGGACUCUGAGUUGUUACUUAAAGAUAUCUGCUUCUUUCCUUUUUCUAUUUCUUGAACCUAGAGAUGGAUUUUGCAUCAUGGUCUAAUUGUUAUAGUUUGUCAGACAUGAAGUCUUGCAUUCAACUGAUGAUCUAUGCAUGGGAUUCUGUAACAUACAUAUCUUGUAUAAACUGUAAAGUGAAAUAUCUUCCUGCUAAUUACAUUCUCAUCGAUCUUGAGUCUGCAUAUUCAAGUUAUUGUGGACACUGCAAUGGUGGACAAAUCUAGAAGUAUUUUGAUAGCCGAAAAUUUUGAAGUUUAAAAAUUUAAAAAUAGUUGUUAAAAUAUGUUGAUAACCUUUUGCCCUUGAUUUUCUUCUGGAGUUCAGGUGGCCGCCCUCGUACCUAAAACUGAACUUGAUGGUGAAAUGGGAGAUUCCCAUGUGGCACUCCAAGCAAGGUUGAUGAGCCAAGCUCUUCGCAAGUUGACCCAUUCACUUUCCCAGUCGCAGACACUCUUGUUAUUUAUUAAUCAGGUAAGUUUUAAACACAUGCAAGCAAGUUUUCAGCUAUAUUUGCUCAGAGUUUCUCUUGUAUGUAAUUGAUAUAAAAGCUUCAUAAAUUUAAGAAUUGAACUUGAGCCUCAACGCCACCAAUUCUCUGGAGGCUUUUUUUCUUUGUUUGGGCCUACUUGGAUAUAAUUUUUUGUAUGUGUCAUUUACAAAAAAUUGUUUUUCCUACUUCAUCAUGGCUGCAUUAUCUGAAGGAUAAUUCUAAUACAGGCUAAGCAGUUGAUUCCAGUUUUCAUACAUGGUAAUGAUAAAUAGUCACAAGUUAUAUUUUUUUGGUUUGUAUUUAUCCAUAGCUUUCUGUGCUGUCAAAUUGAUGAUGGUAUUUUGAGUUAUGGAUUUUUGAUACUACACUGGAUUUUGGCUCCUGCUUCAUGAAUUUGUUGACAGCCAUUAGCAAUCAGUUGAUGUACCUAAGUGACAUGAACAAAAAGAAAAUUUGUUUGAUUAUACCCACCUUGACUUUGUAUUUUUGGGUUUAGUUGAGAAAAUUGCAAGCUCAAUGAAGCAUUGAAAAUCAUUAAUUGAAUGACUGAUUCAUACGGCAACACUGCAAUGAAAUGAAGCUAUGCGCUGGUCUUAUUGCCACGAUUUGUCUUUGUAAACAUGUAACAUGGUAUAUGCAGGACACUCAUAAAAUACCUACAUUGGUUCCGGUGAAUUUCUGAUAUUUUUCCAUUGCCACACACAGCAAAAGUUUGGAACCUGAGAUGCAUUUACUAAAUUCUUGGUCUGUCCUCCCAUUUUUGUAGGUUAGAGCAACUAUGAAGACAUUUGGAUUUGGUGGGUCAACAGAAGUGACCUCUGGCGGCAAUGCCUUAAAGUUCUAUUCAUCUGUUCGCCUUAAUGUCAGAAAAUUUGGCUUGGUUAAAAAAGGCGACGAGGUAUUAUAAUUACACAAAGUUCAAUUGCCAUACUGAUUGUAGUUUCACUAAACAUUUUGUCCAGAACUGGAUUUGCCAUAAAAUUCUAAUUAAUCACGGUGAGUUCUAGAAAUGCACACUUGAGAGUUUCUGUAUGGUUUUAACUUGUGGAGUGGGAAGUCUUUGCCAUCGUUAUAUUUGUUAUAACCCUUUCAUUUGUGAAAAGCUAGGCUUUAGUUCAAAAGUAAUUGUUUUCUCAUCGGACAUAUCAUGAUUGACAUUGUGGCAGACUUUGGGGAGCAAUGUCCUGGUGAAUAUUGUGAAGAAUAAACAUGCCCCUCCAUUUAAGACAGCACAUUUUGAGCUCGAGUUUGGCAAGGGGAUCUCCCGUGAGUCAGAGAUGGUAGAACUAGGUUGCAAGCAUGACUUUAUCACAAAACGUGGUGCUGUCUAUGGUUUUGACGGAAAGAGCUUCCGUGGAAAAGAUGCCCUUAAACGCUAUCUCAUGGAGAAUCAGGGGGUCCAAGAAGAACUAACGAUGAAGCUGAGGGAGAAAUUAUGGAACAACAAUGCUGAUAACACAGAUGGAGCAUCUGAUGCAGCAGAUGACACUGUUGCCAUUGUAUGAUGUGUCGUCAUUUUGUACAAGGGUUUGGGCUUUUCUUGCAGACCAUGCUCAGCUGGAAAUGAAAUCCAAAGAUGGUGAUCGAUUGGUAUCUGUAAUUGAUCUUGUCCAGUGUAGUGGACUAAGCUUUUGAUUCUGGAAGUUUGGAGGACAUGGUGGCAUCAGAGAGAAAAGUCCAGAUUUGUAAUGGUCAUAUGGAACUACUCUUUGCUUCGUACUUUACUAUUUUUCAGAUUUAUGAUUAUAUGCAAAGAUUGCGUAGCAAAGUGAUUUUGUAGGAGUCAUCGGAGAUAAUGCAUGUGAUUUUGUAAUGGUCAUAUGGAACCUGAGAUAAUGCAUGUGAUUUUGUAGGAGUUAUCUUGUGAAAAGCUUUUCUGGCAGCAAUCGUAUGUAUCCCUGAAUUCAUCAGUUUUCUAGGUUUUUUUAGAAACUUAUCGUGGGAUUUCAAUAAAUGACACCAGCUUUGUGUUAUUUUAAAAUCAUUUUAUUUCCUUUAAUCUCCAUUUGUUUUUAUUCGUUCUUGAUACUUAAGAUUAAUUUUUAUUUGCUGUAUUGUUGCGUUGAAAUAUUGUGAUUUGAAGUAUUGUUCCAUGUCUUCUAUUUGUAUGUAUGUACGUAUUUAUUUUUCCUCUCGAAGCGAAAAGUUCUCCUUCGGAUCUCCCAAAGAUUUUGUUUGAUGCGUCGGCCGGAAACACGUGAACCAAUCGGUUGAGGACUAAUUCGGCGCCGACUCGGUCAACAUGGGGAAAACAGAUGCACGCACCUCGACGAUCAAUUCCAAAGAAAAACCGCCGCCUAACUCCACGGCUCGCUUUGACCUCGUCGGCAAAGCGAAGCGUUAGAAACGUGGGGGCAACCGUUUCAACCCACCCGGGUCAUGUUCUCUCACCCCAGCAGGAUCCAUCGCUUCGUUCUCCACAAGGACGAUUGAUUGACCCACACCGCACAACAUAUGAAGCAUCUUCUUUCUUCCUUCCAGAAAGAAGCGACAAAAAUACUUUCGGGACCCACAACUUGCGAGGUGGAGGAACGAUGUCUCCUGCCCCGGCCAAGACAUGGGAACUCUACCGUAAAGACUACAUAGUGAUGCCAGCCGGCGACGCGCAAGAGACACCACAAUUGAUAUGCUAGUGCGCCUUCUUCCUUCUUUCCCCUCUCUCUCUCUCUCUCUCUCGCGNNNNNNNNNNNNNNNNNNNNNNNNNNNNNNNNNNNNNNNNNNNNNNNNNNNNNNNNNNNNNNNNNNNNNNNNNNNNNNNNNNNNNNNNNNNNNNNNNNNNNNNNNNNNNNNNNNNNNNNNNNNNNNNNNNNNNNNNNNNNNNNNNNNNNNNNNNNNNNNNNNNNNNNNNNNNNNNNNNNNNNNNNNNNNNNNNNNNNNNNNNNNNNNNNNNNNNNNNNNNNNNNNNNNNNNNNNNNNNNNNNNNNNNNNNNNNNNNNNNNNNNNNNNNNNNNNNNNNNNNNNNNNNNNNNNNNNNNNNNNNNNNNNNNNNNNNNNNNNNNNNNNNNNNNNNNNNNNNNNNNNNNNNNNNNNNNNNNNNNNNNNNNNNNNNNNNNNNNNNNNNNNNNNNNNNNNNNNNNNNNNNNNNNNNNNNNNNNNNNNNNNNNNNNNNNNNNNNNNNNNNNNNNNNNNNNNNNNNNNNNNNNNNNNNNNNNNNNNNNNNNNNNNNNNNNNNNNNNNNNNNNNNNNNNNNNNNNNNNNNNNNNNNNNNNNNNNNNNNNNNNNNNNNNNNNNNNNNNNNNNNNNNNNNNNNNNNNNNNNNNNNNNNNNNNNNNNNNNNNNNNNNNNNNNNNNNNNNNNNNNNNNNNNNNNCCUCUCUCUCUCUCUCUCUCGCUGGCACACGGUCAGUCAAAGCCCGUCCCCCUUUCCCGCAACCUUUGUUAUAAAGACACCUCUCUCACCCUCUCUCUUACGCCCCAUCGAGAGCGAGGAGAUCAAGAAGAGCGAGGAAGAGGAAGGCCGACUUCCAUCCAUCGCUUCGUCCCGUCUCCUCGUGUCUCACUCUUCCUGCCUCCUCCCCCUCUUUUCUUCUUUCUACUACUACUACCUAGAGAAAAGAAAGAAAGCUCACAUCUAACACACCAGAUGGCUCGCUCUCUCUCGGGUGCUGCUGCUCUCGCGGCAUCUCUCUCCGACAGCAUCACCCUCUUCGUGAACAGGUAGGAUCAUCAUCAUCAUCAUCUCUUUCUCUCUCUCUCUCUCUCUCUCUCUAUCAAUCUAUCUAUCUAUACAUCUAUCUAUCUAUCUAUAUCAUACAUGGAUGAACCUUUGGACCCAUACUUACCUCUGUUCUGUUUUGUCUCCUACAGGCGGGGAUACGCUGCAGCAGCGGCGGCUGUGGGAAGACCGGCGGAAAAGAAAACGGUGGUGCGGAAGGUGGUCGACUCCUCGACUGC